UGCAAGUCGAACGGUAGCACAGAGAGCUUGCUCUCGGGUGACGAGUGGCGGACGGGUGAGUAAUGUCUGGGAGACUGCCUGAUGGAGGGGGAUAACUACUGGAAACGGUAGCUAAUACCGCAUAAUGUCGCAAGACCAAAGAGGGGGACCUUCGGGCCUCUUGCCAUCAAAUGUGCCCAGAUGGGAUUAGCUAGUAGGUGGGGUAACGGCUCACCUAAGCGACCAUCCCUAGCUGGUCUGAAAGGAUGACCAGCCACACUGGAACUGAGACACGGUCCACACUCCUACGGGAGGCAGCAGUGGGGAAUAUUGCACAAUGGGCGCAAGCCUGAUGCAUCCAUGCCGCGUGUAUGAAGAAGGCCUUCUGGUUGUAAAGUACUUUCAGCGGGGAGGAAGGUGUUGUGGUUAAUAACCGCAGCAAUUGACGUUACCCGCAAAACAAGCACCGGCUAACUCCGUGCCAGCAGCCGCGGUAAUACGGAGGGUGCAAGCGUUAAUCGGAAUUACUGGGCGUAAAGCGCACGCAGGCGGUCUGUCAAGUCGGAUGUGAAAUCCCCGGGCUCAACCUGGGAACUGCAUUCGAAACUGGCAGGCUGGAGUCUUGUAGAGGGGGGUAGAAUUCCAGGUGUAGCGGUGAAAUGCGUAUAGAUCUGGAGGAAUACCGGUGGCGAAGGCGGCCCCCUGGACAAAGACUGACGCUCAGGUGCGAAAGCGUGGGGAGCAAACAGGAUUAGAUACGCUGGUAGUCCACGCCGUAAACGAUGUCUAUUUGGAGGUUGUGCCCUUGA
rnacentral:rRNA from 1 species